rnacentral:tRNA from 1 species
UUUAAGAAAGCUAGAAAGCAACCGACUUUUAAUCGGUUUAUGGUGUUUUUUACACCUCUUG